UACACAGGAGACGAACAGAUCCGGAAUUUAUUCACUCAAACUAAAUGUUAUGAGCUGAAACAGUAAUGGCACUGAAACUUGUGCUUGAAACAAAUAUCUUAUAAUAAUACUGUGAUACUUUUUGAAGCGACAUGAUUUUAGAGAAAUAUUGUGGCCAUUUGCUUUGGGACAAAAAACUUGCUUGGGACACUUCAAGUCCUAUUUUGUCGCCAUGUUUCAGUGAAACGCUGCUUCUUUGGGUUUGGAUCUUUCGCCUUCCUCUUUCGCUUGGAACAAAUAUUUUAAAAUAAUAUUGUGAUACUUUUCGAAGCGACAUGAUUUUAGAGAAAUAUUGUGGCCAUUCACUUUGGGACAAAAAACUGUCUUGACACUUCAAGUCCUAUUCUGAUAUUCGAAUUUAUCCGCGGAUUCGUGAGAGGCGAUGGGCUUUUUCACUAUAAUAAGAAUGUCUACCACAGCAUAGACGCAAUAAACUCAGAAUUUUUAAAUUAAGAAACUCGCCGGAAUAUCCACGAUCUCGGAAUAUAAAAUCAUAAUUCAGAGUUGACUGUAAGUAAUCUGACUGUAUCUUGCUAAUAAUUAUAUUUG